rnacentral:tRNA from 1 species
GCAGGGGUAGUCAAGCUUGGCCAACGGCGCAGGACUUAGGAUCCUGUCCCUAGCGGUUCUUGGGUUCAAAUCCCAACCCCCGCACCA